GAAUCCGAGGAGGGAAAGGGCUGAACGGGGACCAGGCUGCCGCGGGGGGCGGCUGACAGACCGCGGCAGCAGCCACGUCCCCCAGGGAGUUCAGGACAACAGCGAUUAAACGCUGGAGACGAACAGACGAGCCCCGUUCAGAAGCGUUUCCAAGCCCCUCGGUCCCCAGUUCCACCCCAGAGCGGAUGUAAAACCAAACGAACGCCCUCACGCAGGUCGGGGUUACGACACGAGAGGAUGGGGGCCGAUAGUUGUAGUUCCCAGGAUAAUCCAGUGCCGCCCAGUGCUCUCGGGCUUAGAAACUUCAGCUGAGAGGCCGGGCAGCGCUUAACCACAGCGGCAAGGCCGAGCGGGGGGGACACGGCCUUGUCGCAGGGCGGGAGUGCGUGCGCCUCACCCGCCCGCAGCGCAGCCCGCCGAGGGACGCUGCGGAGAGAGUCCUCGUCCUCAGUCGGCACCAGAGUUAAUUAGUGGCCCCUUUGGCCUCCCCCGUUACAGUCAGGGAUGGGUCAGGGCCCGCACACAUCUAUCUCCCAGUCCCGCUGCGAUGACCAUUACGUAAGCCUUUUUCUAAUUUGCUACAACUAUUGUGGUUCUUCAGCUAACCAAGAAAAAAAAAAACAACCACACACAGGAAGGCACUAUGGCAAAGUCUCAUGGCUUGCCAAAUAGUCUCUAUGAAAAGGAAAGAGAGCAAAGAAAGAGAGCAAAAACAAAGAGCUGCUUAGGGAAGAAUUUUCUCAUGAAUACAUGAACUUUGGUAUACUGAGCAAUGAUGAAAAAUACAGAACAUUAGCAACUUCCCAUUACGUGUAAGAGUAGAAAACACAAAUGUCUCUACAGCCAGCGGUAAAGAACAGUUUGUCAGUGUCUGCUUUUGGAUAUGAAUGGGUGCAAAGUGAUUGCAUGAGGGACUGCACAAUUUGCACCACUGAUGGCGUAACUGACCUACAAAUAGGAUAAAAGGAACCUGCUCUCACACAUCCAAGUAACGGCAACACGCACAACCUUCACCACGAUAAUUCUGUGUCUAACCGCACGUUUCCUACCAGAGACCCGCACGGCAACAGCUCUGGUACUUGACCAAUGUGCUCAUACUCAGGUGAAUGAGAGAUGCAAAUAGAGAAGAAAAAAUUCAAAGGCCUGGCAAGUACAACGUAUGAAGAGUGUGGGCGUGCUAAAUGACAGCAGCAUGGGUGAAUUCAAGUUUCUGCUUGACAUCGAAGUCCUCUGCUCUGGUUCUGAUUCCACAUCCUGGGGUUCCACAAGAGGCUGUCUCAGAAUCUUUCAGAGGAACAACAAAUUAAGUAACAUAUCCGCUGCCCCUUAAAAUUUGUAACUAGAAGACACUGUGAUAAAAACUACUGAUUGUACAUCUUAAAAAUAUUUUAUCAUCACUUCGGCUGGCUACUUUUGCUGUAAGCUCCACAUGAAGUGUGACAGAACUAGUGGUGGGUACCGGAGGGCGAGUGCUUAGACGGACCCUUCUCGCCAACCCCGUUGGAGAGAAUCCCCCCACGCGCCACGCGAGCACCUUCACCGUCCACGUAUAAACCCGUGUGACGGGCCCUGGUCAGCUGCCACUGCUCGGGGAAGACAGUGCAGUCACCACUACUGGAAAUAUCGAUGCUUAGCAUUAGUAAGAAAUGCAGCAACAGGAACGUUUCAGAAAUGAAUCAUGAACACCGUUACCUCACCGCAGAAAUGCAUGAACAAACUUGAAAGCUGCAGGUAGCUUGAAUGAUUUCCCCUCAAAAAUGGGGUAGCUGAACAAAAAGGAGGCACAAGAAAGUUACCAAGAUCAAUCAAUUGGAUGCACUGAGCAGGUUCUGUGCAAAGAUUCUACAGUCCAAAACUGUUCAUCUUGGAAGGCAGAUGCAUCAGGGGAGUGAAAUGGCAAAUAAAAGAGCUACGGAGCUACGAAAAUGGUCAAAGGGGUGAAGAGAGGACAAACACUUCUUGGGGAAAAAAAGGGCUCUGGAGCCCAGUUAAAUUACUAAGCUAAGAACGGUGCAUACUUUCAAACAAAGCAGAACUAAAUCUUGCAACUCUGUCAAAGGGUGUAGUAGAAGCUGUAAAUACAGUUGCUGCCGGCAUCAACAUGAUAGACUUGCCGUGAGCUUCACAGUCUAAUUACAAGUACCAUAAAAUAUCCCUGACCGUGUAACGCUACAGCAGAGAGAACAUAAGCACGUUUGAAAGAAAACAAACCCCUGAAGUUGUCUGGUUUUUUUUUUAUAUAUACACACACACACAUAUAAAGUGUAAUAUAUAUCUAAUAUGUAAUAUAUGCAUCCAUAUAUUAACAUUAUAUAUAUAUUAUAUAGAUCAUAGAUAUCUGAUUAGUAUUAAUUAAUAAAAACCUAUGUGUUUGCAGAUACACAAUACACGAAUAUUCCACUUCAGAAAUUCUGAAAUUGCUGUACAUUAACAGGUACAUUUUAAUUCUCAGAGCUGACAAUUACAGCUUUUAAUCAAAAGAAGACCCUCUCUUGAUGGAAAACAAGCAAGAAUUGUCAAAUAGGUUCUGAAUCUACAUAACUGCAAAUUUUUGCCCCAUAGAAAAAGAAUUACCUACUUAGAAAAACUUGCCAAAAGCAGCCGUAGUCUCCGUCUCCUGAUGCGUACAAUCCAGAUAAAGGAUAAAAGUUUUCAAAUUUAUAAGUUACUAGAAGUUACUAAAAAAUAAGUUACCAGAACUGAUUUGCCAAUCAAUUUACAAAUUUGUCCUGUCCUCAAUCUGGUCUAAAAGCUGGAUUGCUACCUAUUCCUUUAUUUUAAUCUGUAAUUUUUGUGCAAAUCAUUCCUCUGAUUUUGGCCGAAUAUUGCUUUAUGUUGAAUGUACUCUAUGACUAAUAAAAAAGGAAAAUUCAAGAGACAGAAAGAGUGUUUGACGGACUCAAACCAAACAAAGGUUCAGCAUGAGAUACAGAACACCGUGUAGAUCACUGCAUUGGAAAUGACCGAAGCUAUUGCAUUACACACAGACAAGUUUUUGUCCUUUUGAUCUUUUUCUACUUCGAAAUUGCUGAUACACACACACAAAUGAAGGAAACAGCUAUAAUUAACCAUUCAGAAGGGGUUCUAUGCACAGAGUGCAACACAAGAGCACAAGAAAUUCUGCACAAUAGGAAUAUGGUGAAGUUGAGCAGUUCAUGGGUGUGGGAUAACCCUUCCCAUCAUCUGCGGGCUGAGUUAGCCCAUAUUCACAGGGCAGCUGCGAGGCUACGGAGGCAGCCAAAGCCUGGGAGGACACCACUCGUGUGCAGUCACCAACCCCAGCAGCUGCCGGCACCGCACGUGUCAGCGAACAGAACCCGCUGCCACCAGAGCUCCCGGAUCAGAACCAGGGAGCCUUCACCACCCCGUCCGCAUCUCCCGUGGAGGGGGCAGCUCUGAACCCAGCCUGGUCAGAGGACGGUGAGAUGUGGGGAGCAGAGUAGAAGAGAUGUUGUUUAUCACAAGACGGAUCCUCUACCCAAACUAUCUCUGAGAACCAAGAAUCUGCAGGUAGCUCAGUAUGCUCCCAGCACGUACUCA